UACAGAGAUCUCAAGCGUUGUUCGGAUUCAUUGGGCGUAAAGGGUGCGUAGGUGGCGUCGUAAGUCGGGUGUGAAAUUUCGGAGCUUAACUCCGAAACUGCAUUCGAUACUGCGGUGCUUGAGGACUGGAGAGGAGACUGGAAUUUACGGUGUAGCAGUGAAAUGCGUAGAGAUCGUAAGGAAGACCAGUGGCGAAGGCGGGUCGUCUGG
rnacentral:rRNA from 1 species